rnacentral:rRNA from 1 species
AUUGAACGCUGGCGGCAGGCCUCACACAUGCAAGUCGAACGAGUGGCGGACGGGUGCGUAAUGUCUGGGAAACUGCCUGUUGGAGGGGGAUAACUACUCGAAACGGUAGCUAAUACCGCAUACCAUCGGAUCUGCCCAGAUGGGAUUAGCUAGUGGGUGGGGUAAAGGCUCACCUAGGCGACGAUCCCUAGCUGGUCUGAGAGGAGGACCAGCCACACUGGAACGGAGACACGGUCCAGACUCCUCCGGGGGGCAGCAGUGGAGAAUAUUGCACAAUGGGAGCAACCCAGAUGCAGCCAUGCCGCGUGUAUGAAGAAGGCCUUCGGGUUGUAAAGUACUUUCUGCAGAGAGGCGGGAUCCGCAGAAUAAACACCGGCUAACUCCGUGCCAGCCGCCGCGGUAAUUC